rnacentral:lncRNA from 1 species
AUGAGUGCCAUAGGACAACUUAGAAGAAAUGAAGUGGCCUGAAGAGCCUGGGUCACCAAAUCUCCCACAUGAGAGCAAAGGUAACAUUAAUAUGUGUAACAUUUUUGGAAAGAAAAGAAAAAACUAGAGGGAAGAAUGAAGAUGAGAGGGGGAGCAAAACAGGUCGGGGAAAGGCGCCCAGCCCAACCUUAACCAGGAAGUUGAAAAGUCAAGGAAGGCUUAAAUGCCAGGAUUCCCUGGGAACUGAGCGAGAGCCAUCGCACUCCUGUUGUGUCCACUUCCUCCUCUUAAAAUGAUCACCAAAAAAGCCCUUCUUUAAUCAAAAGAAAAAUGAAAUUAAACUUGAUAAAUUGUGGGCAGAGAGGACCAAGGGACAGACAGAAUUAAUCAAGGACAAUGGCAAUACAGACAAGUAGCAAGUGUGCUGCCCACAGGCUACAGUCUGAGGAGUAUUGACAUCAGUGAUUUUUUUUUUCAACUUAUUUAACCUCUUUAUUUUUAUCACUCCUUAAGAAUAAAGAGUUGUCAAUACUGAUGUUUCAUACAUAAUAAAACCAAGAAAAUCAACCCCCCCCUUUCAAAACUUCAAAUAAACAGUUCAAUGUUCGGUGC